AACGAACGCUGGCGGCAUGCUUAACACAUGCAAGUCGAACGGAACCUUCGGGUCUAGUGGCGGACGGGUGCGUAAGGCGUGGGAACCUGCACUUAGGUUCGGAACAACUCCCCGAAAGAUAAGCUAAUACCGCAUAAUGUCUUCCCACCAAAGAUUUGUCGCUUCUGGAUGGGCCCGCGUUCGAUUAGCUAGUUGGUAGGGUAAAAGCCUACUAAGGCGACGAUCGAUAGCUGGUCAGAGAGCAUGGUAAGCCACGCUGGGGCUGAGGCACGGCCCCAACUCGUAGGAAAAGCAGCGGUAGAGAGUAUUAGACAAUGAGGAAAGACCUGAUCAAGCAGUGUCGUGGAAGAGGGGAUGGGCGUAGGAUUGUAAAGCUCUUUGUCACGAGAUGAUAAUGACGGUACCGGGAGAAGAAGCUCCGGCUAACUCCGUG
rnacentral:rRNA from 1 species